GACGAACGCUGGCGGCGUGCUUAACACAUGCAAGUCGAGCGGUAAGGCCCUUUCGGGGGUACGACAGCGGCGAACGGUGAGUAACACGUGGGUGACCUGCCCUCCAGCUCUGGGAUAAGCCUGGGAAACCGGGUACUAAUACUGGAUAUGACUCCAUGACGCAUGUUGUGGGGUGGAAAGCCUUGUGCGGCUGAGGAUGGGCCCGCGGCCUAUCAGCUUGUUGGUGGGGUGAGGCCUACCAAGG
rnacentral:rRNA from 1 species